rnacentral:rRNA from 1 species
UACGAAGGGGGCUAGCGUUGCUCGGAAUCACUGGGCGUAAAGGGUGCGUAGGCGGGUCUUUAAGUCAGAGGUGAAAUCCUGGAGCUCAACUCCAGAACUGCCUUUGAUACUGAGGAUCUUGAGUACGGGAGAGGUGAGUGGAACUGCGAGUGUAGAGGUGAAAUUCGUAGAUAUUGGGAAGAACACCGGUGGCGAAGGCGGCUCACUGGCUCAUUACUGACGCUCAGGCGCGAUAGCGUGGGGAUCAAACAGG